CUUCCCGUCUGACUACUGCAGUUUCUCCUAAGAAUAGAUUUUAGUGGCUAGGCUUACGGGAUAAAGCAAAAAUUGCUGUGAUAUGAAAAGGGAGGAUUUAUUUGUGUCCUCCUUCUCUGUGAAAUGACUUAUAAGAAAAAU